rnacentral:rRNA from 1 species
CCGGCGCACGGGUGAGUAACACGUAUCCAACCUGCCGUCUACUCUUGGACAGCCUUCGGAAAGGAAGAUUAAUACAAGAUGGCAUCAUGAGUUCACAUGUUCACAUGAUUAAAGGUAUUCCGGUAGACGAUGGGGAUGCGGUCCAUUAGAUAGUAGGCGGGGUAACGGCCCACCUAGUCUUCGAUGGAUAGGGGUUCUGAGAGGAAGGUCCCCCACAUUGGAACUGAGACACGGUCCAA